rnacentral:rRNA from 1 species
AGCAGUCGCCGCGGUAAUACGAAGGGGGCUAGCGUUGCUCGGAAUCACUGGGCGUAAAGGGCGCGUAGGCGGCGUUUUAAGUCGGGGGUGAAAGCCUGUGGCUCAACCACAGAAUGGCCUUCGAUACUGGGACGCUUGAGUAUGGUAGAGGUCGGUGGAACUGCGAGUGUAGAGGUGAAAUUCGUAGAUAUUCGCAAGAACACCGGUGGCGAAGGCGGCCGACUGGACCAUCACUGACGCUGAGGCGCGAAAGCGUGGGGAGCAAACAGGAUUAGAUACCCGGGUAGUCCCUGUCUCUUAUAC